rnacentral:lncRNA from 1 species
AAGUGCCCAGAUUACCUUCCAGUCCCCUCCCACUUUCCUUCUUCAUGCUGUGUUUGUGUUUUUAACUAGUGAUAUUCAAGAGCCUAAGCCUAUCUCCAACAGUUCUUUUGAUUACCGAGGAAAAAGGAUUCAUUUAAACAGGUAUGGGGUUCCGAACUUGAUUUUUUUUUUUUUGGGCAACAUAUGCUGUGCGUUCCACGGACAUACCAACUUCAGGACUCUAAAUGAUGUCUUUGAGUUGUAUAUUUUUUUAAUCCCAAGGGCUUCAAUUUAUGUAUGCUGGGACUCAGAAGCCUUUCUUUCUUUAACCCUUUCCUCCUUCCUCCCUCCCUCCCUCGCUCCCUCCCCUCUGUUCUUCCUUUCACAGCUCAGAUAAAGAAUGUUGAUUUAAUCAUAUUCCUUAGUUCACAGCACAUUAUCAAUUACCAACCGGUGUGAAGCCCCCUCCUGUCUGUACAUUCAUUGAUUCAUUCACUUAUUCAUUCAUCCCUUUUUAUCUUGUUUUCUACUUCCCUUUCUUCUUAUUUAUAGAUAACCAUUAUGUGUUCAAUAUAUAUUUUUUGUUUGAAGGUAUGCUUUGAAAAUGUCUGUCAUUAUUUUGUAUGCACAUGUUUAUAAUUCGUAUAAAUGUCAUUGAUUUUAAAUAAUUGUUGUUAGCACUGAUGUAACACUUUCCAUGUGCCAGAUGUUCUAAGCACCUUUACAUGUACUAAUGCAUUUAAUCGUCACAACUUUAUGACAUAGGUGCUAUUAUUAUCCACAUAAGCAGAGGAGGAAACUAAGGCACAGAAAGUUUAAAUAGUUUGGCCAAGUUCACAUACACAAUUAGAAAGUAGAAGAGCUGGGAUAAAAAUCCAUACAUCUGGCUGUCGAAUCAAUACUCUUAACAAUUGUGUCAAACUGCCUCUUGUUAUGUAAUAUUAGCCUAUUUCUUUUUUUUACACUGUUUUUAGAAUUUACGUAUGUUGUUAUGUAUACGUCUAAUCCAAUAUGUCUAACUGCAUUGGCCUAACAACCACUCUUAUAGGUUAAGGCAACUUUUUGUCUUAAUUCUCAUCAAUGGUUCCAAGUUGGUCUUGAGUACACUAGCAUGUAUGGGCCAGGACAGAGAUGUAGGUCUGGAUGGGUAUCGCAAAAGGGACUCUGGGAAAUAUUCUACAGGAACGUGUCAGUUCUUGGUUCAGUGAUAUUUCUUAAUUUUCCCUAAAUAUGGUUAUGCCUAAUAGUAAAGUCAUUUUGAAACCUAUUCCAAAAUAGGAAACUUCUGGUAAUUCAUGUACAACUGAAAAAGCAUCUGUAUUAGUUUGCUAGGGCUACUAUAACAAAGUACCAUGGACUAGGCAGCUUAAACAACAGAAGUUUAUUUUCUCACAAUUCUGGAGGCUAGAAGACCAAGAGCAAAGCGCCCGCAGGGCUGGUAUCUUCUGAGGGUUUCAAGGGAAGGGUUCGUCCCAAGCCUUUCUCCUUGGCUUGUAGACAGCCGUCCUCUCCCUGUGUCUUCACAGGGUCUUCCCUCUGAACAUGUCUGUGUCCAAAUUUCCUCCUAAAAGGACUCCAGUCAUAUCGGAUUAUGGUCUUCUCUGAUGACCUCAUUUUAAUUUAAUUACCUCUUUAAAAAUCUUGUCCCCAAAUACGGUCUCAUUUGUUAAGUAGUGUGGGCUAGGACUUCAACAUAUGAAUUUUCAAGGGGACACAAUCCAGCUCAUAACAAUAUCUAAGGGACAUAGACCACGGAUUGACUAUGUUUGCUCUUACGAAAACAUUAUAAGAAGAUUCUUUCAACAAAUGUAUACUGGACGUCUGUUAAGUGCCAAGAACUGGGGUAAGAAACUAUAGAGUGAGAGUUUGGUGAACAAGUAAUUUUCAGAUGAUGAGGGUGGUUAAAUAGUGCCAUUGUCACCUAGGAAGUUUCCAGAAUCACAUUGGAUAGCAUUUUCAAAGCAGAUUGGAUUUUCCUUUGGCUGGACAUGCUUAUUGCAGACAUCCUAAAAGCCCGGUGGUUUUUUCUCCAUGAUGCUAUAUUUCCUUGAAAUGAUAUUUUCUCUCCUCUUCUGGAUCUUUUUAAACAUAAAUUACUCAUACACUCUGUUCCCUACAAUAAUCCUGAUCCUCAGUCAAAUGUCACACCUUUUUAAAUCACUUACUCUUGUGUUCUUCUUUUACCAGUUGCCUUGGUGGUGGUUGAUUAAUUCAUAAGUACCUAGAUUAUGCUUAAGCUCUGUACCAACAGACGCACACUGUGUCUCACCUCUGUAAGUAAAGAUGCAAGCAUGCACCGUAGAUCUAAAAGAGCAAAGCGUGGGAGGAAAAAGCUGGCCUUGUUUAAUAUUGCAAGGCAAUGAAUUUUCACAGCAUUUAAAUUCUAAUCUGUUUCAUGAUUCAGUAUUUCUGAGGUUAACCAGAGCCAUAGUCAAGAAAGAAGAGGGGGUUUGUGUGAGCUAAAGGAUGAUUUAGAAAUGACGUGAAGAAAGCAGAGUAUCUCAUAAUUGUAUCUGCUAUUGGCUUAGCUGAUCAGCUCAGUGGCAUGGUGGUUCCAAAGUUACACUAGCAAAUGCCUGGAUUUAGAGACAAAUUCCUCCAUUUCCCAAAGAUUGGAAUCCCCAUAUGUUUUACCUGACACAAAUAGAAUGAUUGUUGAAACAUCCAUGGAAUCGAGAUAUUUUUUAAUUGAAAAAAUAUAUACCCAUUCAUAACAAUGCCAAUGCCAAGUUAAAUCUUAGAAAUUAAACCUAUAAAGCAGGUUAUUCUCAGCAAAGUUGUGUAUUAUUUUUUCUCUUUGAUAUUUCCUGCCAACUUAUAAAGAAUCCAUUGUGAAUGUCCUGCUUCUAACUUCUGCCAGAGAGGAUUUGCUGCUUGAGUUCCUUUUGCUGACACUUAGUGUAACUAUAUUCCAUUUAAAGAAAAGGUAAGGGAAUAAAAGUUUUCCAACUAAGCA